GCGUGAUCUUCGUCUUGCUGAAAAACCUAAUAAUGGACAAGACAAGUAUGUUGAUUGGUUUGACCAGAUUUGUCACUUAAUAUUCAUGGACACUUUGAUAAAUUAUUUAGAAGGCUGGUAAGUUUGUAGUGAUCUGAACAACUCUUUUAGAUCCAACUACCUCUGUAAGGAAGGAACCUUGGUAAACCAACUCACAAGCAGCAAUGGUACAGAAAAAGUAGCAGAAAC